rnacentral:tRNA from 1 species
CCGAUGUAGCUCAGCUGGUAGAGCAACGCAUUCGUAAUGCGUGGGUCGUAGGUUCAAGCCCUAUCAUCGGC